GCCUAACCCCUAGCCCAACCCUAAUUUUCAAAACACGUCCACCAAACACUAAAACAUUCUAACCACUAUAGUAGAGGCGAUCAAAACACUCUUUGGAGCUAUAUAGCUAGUACCGCAAGGGAAAGAUGAAAUAACAAUGAAAAACCAAGCAUAAAACAGCAGAGACUAAAACUCGUACCUUUUGCAUCAUGAUUUAGCCAGUCUAAUUAAGCAAAACGACUUACAGUUUAACCUCCCGAAACUAAAUGAGCUACUCUAAGGCAGCCUUCAGGGCUAACUCAUCCCUGUUGCAAAAGGGUGAAAAGACCUUAUAGUAGAGGCGACAAACCUACCGAAUUUAGUGAUAGCUGGUUGCUUAAGAAAAGAACCUAAAUUCAACCUUAAACACAACACAACACAACUAAGUACCCAAAAACUUUAAGAGCCAUUCAAGCAAGGUACAGCUUGCCUGAAAAAGGAUACAACCUACCAACAAGGGUAACGUCCCAGCACUCAACACAUAAGUAGGCCCAAAAGCAGCCACCUUCCAAGACAGCGUCACAGCUCACCUUCAAAACCAAAAAAAUCCCUCCAACACUACAGAACCCUAACACACCAUUAAGCAAUCCUAUUUUCUCAUAUGAACUAUUAUGCUAAAACUAGUAAUAAGGGCAUCAGCCCCUCUUUAAUGCAAACAUACAUCAGCACGGACAAACCACCGAUACUUAACACCCGCUAAUCCCGCAGCUACAACAAAACACACAAGAAAAUUUACCUAAACCAAACGUUAACCUAACACAAGCGCAUUACAAGAAAGAUUGCAAGGAAAAGAAGGAACUCGGCAAAUUUCAGCCUCGCCUGUUUACCAAAAACAUCGCCUCCUGCCUAAACAUAGGAGGUCCUGCCUGCCCAGUGAUCCAAUUCAACGGCCGCGGUAUUUUAACCGUGCAAAGGUAGCACAAUCACUCGUUCUUUAAAUAAGGACUAGUAUGAACGGCCCAACGAAGGCUGCGCUGUCUCCUUUCCCACAUCAAUGAACCUGAUUUCCCCGUGAAGAAGCGAGGAUAAACCUAUAAGACGAAAAGACCCUAUGGAGCUUCAGAUGAAAUAUUAUAUGCCCCAAAAUUAACAUAUCUACAUAUCCAUCUUCGGUUGGGGUGACCACGGAGAAAAACAAACCCUCCACGACAAACAAGCCUAAAUACACAACUUAAAGCAUCAACAAUUUAUCACUUGACCCAAUUACGAUUGAUCAACGAACCAAGUUACCCUAGGGAUAACAGCGCAAUCCAUUUCAAGAGCCCAUAUCAACAAAUGGGUUUACGACCUCGAUGUUGGAUCAGGGUAUCCUAGUGGUGCAACCGCUACUAAAGGUUCGUUUGUUCAACGAUUAAAACCCUACGUGAUCUGAGUUCAGACCGGAGCAAUCCAGGUCAGUUUCUAUCUAUAAAUGAGCGCUCUUCAGUACGAAAGGACCAAGAAUGCAUGGCCCAUGUCCCAGAUAAGCCAUAUAACUUAUUAAUGAACACAACUCAAUUAAUAACAACCUAACAAACUAAUCCUAGAAAAGGAAUAAACUAUUAAGCAAACACACUUAAUAUUAUAAAUUUGGCAGAUAAUAGUUACCCAAUAAAAUCUCU
rnacentral:rRNA from 1 species